GAUUUAAUUAGUUGCUUUUACACACAGGGUGGACACGUCACCCCUGGUUGUUGUUGUUCUUGGCUUUAUUCCCUAAAUACUUCUGUGGCGCACGCCAGACUUCGUUACGUAUCCGCCACGUCGCCUUCCAAGGGGCAGGCAGGCAGCCAUGAGCCAUGAGUCACGGGCUGCUGGCCGACGUGCGCAGCAAUCAGGAGCAUUCAGCCGUAGAGCGGAAGAGGCUUCAAAGAGUCUGGCGCUCCUACGGAUGGGAUGCAGCACCCAGAGAUGGGGAACCAGCGGCUCAUGUGGGCCACCACCACAUCUUCGGAGAUAAUCUACACACACCUCUGGUCGCAAUUUAUUUUGGGAAUUGAGCAAAUUGCAAGACGUCGACCGCAAUAGAAGCUGCAGAACGUGCAACGGGCGAGAAAAUACUGCCAAACAUUUCCACUCAAUGUUUUGUUUUGGCUUUCGGCCUACGGUUACUAUGGUGGUAAUGAAAAUCAAUGGCUUAACUGAAGGAACGUCAGAUGGUCGAGCGGGUCAACAACAACAGGGCCCUCACAUCGGCGGGUAAGCUGCCGUUAACAGCCCAUUCUCACCUCACCUGGAACCUCUGCUCAUCUACCUGACUGCCCGGCGCGUCUCGAGUGGGUGUCAAACUAUGGCUAAUGACACACAAAGGCGCCUGCAUUGUUCAACAGAGACGUACAAUAACAAUAAACAGAAGUGUAUAUGGAGCAUACACCGAGUGAUAUGUGAAGGAAGUAUUCUAGACGAGAACCAUAUGUCUCAAGGUGAAUCUGUAUCUCAAGGAUAUUCGGACAGGUAGUGCAAAGUUCCCAUAAACUACCUGAAUGUGUUUAGAGCGGUUAGCCAUAUUCCUACCACAAAUAUUUAAACAAUUAAAGGAAGUGCCCAAAAAGCUUUUAAAUUACAAAAGCACCAGUUAUUAAUGAGAAAUGUCUGACAUUUAUUGGCUUCUCAAAUUCUUGGCUUAAAAAAAUAAAAACAUAAUUAACUAAAUAAAUAUGGCAUAGAAAUGUUCCUAAGGGCUUAAUAAAAUCGAAAAAAAAAACGAAA